rnacentral:misc_RNA from 1 species
UCUCCGUUGGUGAACCAGCGGAGGGAUCAUUAUCGAGUUUAUAACUCCCAAACCCUAUGUGAACUUACCACUUGUUGCUUCGGCGCGCGCUUCGGUGCCGCCGAGGACACUUAAACUCUUUGUUUUUAUAAGCAUUUCUGAGUGGCCGAAAGGCGAAAUACAAAUGAAUCAAAACUUUCAACAACGGAUCUCUUGGUUCUG